rnacentral:rRNA from 1 species
UACGGAGGGGGCUAGCGUUGUUCGGAAUUACUGGGCGUAAAGCGCACGUAGGCGGCUUUGUAAGUUAGAGGUGAAAGCCCGGGGCUCAACUCCGGAAUUGCCUUUAAGACUGCAUCGCUAGAAUUGUGGAGAGGUAAGUGGAAUUCCCGGUGUAGUGGUGAAAUGCGUAGAUAUCGGGAGGAACACCAGUGGCGAAGGCGACUUCCUGGCCUGUUCUUGACGCUGAGGCGCGAAAGCUAGGGUAGCAAACGGG